UCUGUUUCUGAAGAGAGAUGGUGGGUUUGAAAAUGUUCCUCCUGAGGGCGGGGCAUCAAGAGUCAGAGUGCCACUGAGAGUUCCGAGAAGGAUAAAUACACAUCUGUUCACCUCUUGCAAGUGGAUGCGUAUUAAUUAAUAAAACCUCUGAUUAGUGUGUUUAGAGUUGGAACUGAAGCACGGCUCCAGAGUUCGGUGUGUCGGCUCUUCUGACUACGGCUCCUCUGACCCGUGACACAGCGACCGAGAGAUGAUGACACUUUACAUCCAGCUCAAUGCAAGGACAUGUCGAUCUAGAAGGAGUCUCCAGUGUCAGUGCUUUGUCACAGUCAGAGCUGUCGAUCUGCUCAGAUUCAGAAUCAGCACACGGCAUCAGCUCCUGAUCUCCGCUCAGCCCGAGUCACCUGUGGAAAUCGCUCAGGUCCGUCUAUCUUCAGAUGAAAAGGGAAAGUCAUGCAAGAUUUUGUUUGUGGAAAUAAGAUCUCCAAGCAACAUGAACACUGAGACCUGAAAACAGAACUUUCUCUCUGGUCUCAGGCAGUUUGAGAGCCAGCAGUCCUCCACACACCAGUGCAGCACAGGACAGGAGGAUGGGCAUGACUUUCGUGACCCCCACAAAUGAGGAAAAGAUGGAGCUGCCCAAGAUGGCUGCCAGUUUACACACUGCGUUCAGGACUCCGAAUGCUGUGGCUCUUGUCGUAAAGCUGCCGGAGUUUGGAUACAGUUGUGUUUCUGGAUGGCGGUUUAUAAAUUGUGUCAGAGGAUGCGAUCUGUAAAGCCUCCGUUACCCCGCCGUUCUCAAACACGAGACCCUGCAGUCGACUGAAACCUGUUAACUACUGAGUGGUUCAUCUGUCGCAGCAGGAAGCGCGGACUCUCAGGCAUGAACAUGAGGCCGAUGAGAGCAGCGAUGGCCGGUAGAGCGCACACCAACACGAACACACGCCAACUGUGGAACUGAAACUCCGAACCCAUACUGAAACCCCAUCCUGAAAACACACACACACACACACGAUACCAUAGUGAUGAAUGUUUUAUCGCAUUAUUAGUGUGUUAUUAUUUUGUAGCUUGUGUACUAAAGUGAGGCACAAUGUAACAGCUGUACCACAAUGGGAUGGUGUUAUAGAGGUGUU